AACGAACGCUGGCGGCAGGCCUAACACAUGCAAGUCGAACGCCGUAGCAAUACGGAGUGGCAGACGGGUGAGUAACGCGUGGGAACAUACCCUCCGGUUCGGAAUAACUCAGGGAAACUUGAGCUAAUACCGGAUACGUCCAAGGUUUUAAUCGGCCUUGGAGAAAGAUUUAUCGCUGGAGGAUUGGCCCGCGUCUGAUUAGCUUGUUGGUGAGGUAAUGGCUCACCAAGGCGACGANCAGUAGCUGGUCUGAGAGGAUGAUCAGCCACAUUGGGACUGAGACACGGCCCAAACUCCUACGGGAGGCAGCAGUGGGGAAUAUUGGACAAUGGGCGAAAGCCUGAUCCAGCCAUGCCGCGUGAGUGAUGAAGGCCUUAGGGUUGUAAAGCUCUUUUACCCGGGAAGAUAAUGACGGUACCGGGAGAAUAAGCCCCGGCUAACUUCGUGCCAGCAGCCGCUGUAAU
rnacentral:rRNA from 1 species